AGAAAGCCCAAGGAUGUGUGGGCAGUUCGUCUCAGCAUUGGAACCUAUCUUAUAGAUGGCAAAUACUUCAAGCCCUUGGAGCUUCAAGAAUGAAACUUGUACUGUUUUCAAUUCAAAGCUUAACGUCAAUGAAAGUAUGCAAAUUUCAAUUCAAUUUGAAAAAUUGAAUAAAAUCAAAACUGUUUUUAAUGGGUUUAAUUCAGUUUUUUAGCCAAAUCAGUUAACUUGGUGGAAAUCUCUAGCUUUUAUCAAUCGAUGUGAUCUCCCUGGGAAAA
rnacentral:lncRNA from 1 species